ensembl:lncRNA
CUCAGUGUUUUAGGGAAGCAUUACAUUUGCCUGCCACCCCCAAUCCCUGUGAGCUGAGGGAGAGCAGAAGCUCUGUCAUCUGCCUCAUUUAUAGCUCCUAUAGCACUCACUGCAUAAUUAUCUGCAUUUGCUACAUACCUUAAACACAGAGACCCAGACUUGAACUUUGAGGGACGUCAUAAAUCAUAGGAUGUGAGAGCCAAAUGGAAACUCACCGAUGAUCUAAUCCAAUGAUUCUGCCUUCUGUGUUUAGCAGAGACUGGGUAAUUACCAGAUACCCCCAAAGGUGACUGCAGGGGCUAUGGCAGGUGAGGGCAGCCAGAGUUGGGGGUUCUGGGAUCCCCACAUCUUCCUUCUUUCUUCCAUUUAAUCCAAAAGAGCUCUCUCUCUUUUAUCCAUCUUAGACAUCGUAGGGCUGGGAGUAAGAUUUUAUUGACAAAAAUAUGCAUGAAAUUCACAGACAAGAGGGAAAAAAUAGAAAUAAUGAAUCCAGGAGUUAAAGGACUCCAAAUUUUUACAGAACCUCAUGCAUGUUCUGUGCAUGUUUAGAUAUAGGCAGACAGACUCUACAACGACAGAUGCCUAGAGAGCAAGAGAACACACACGUGACGUGAACAGGCUGCAUAUUCCAUAGCCAGUGGCGGUGGGUUGAGGGAGUGGAAAGAGGAAGGUGUCACAACAGUAAUGGGACGUGCAUUCAAGGGGGGCAGAGGUCUUCCCGGCCCCACUGUUCCCUCACUAGAAUUCUGCCUUCUCUACAGCUCCCACCAUUCAUUCAUUUACUCUUACUUUCACUUACUCCGUGCCUACAUAUUAAGCAGUUCUGCAUGCCAGGCUCUUUGCAGAUAGGAACACAUAAAUUGAAGACCGAGUUAAGGGACGGAUGGCUUAUCAAAAGCAAAUGCAGUCACAGAGGACACAGGCAGAGGAGAAGAAUGAGAAGAGCUCCCCAAAUAAGACACAAUGAGAGGAAAGGAAAGGAGAGAUGACAGCACGCUUGGAUCUAUCAGACUGUCUAUUUUUAGUGGCCUGAGGAAGAUCCUCUCCAGUGACCUUGCCGAAUCACGAUGCAAACAGAGGUGAUGAAAGCUCUCUCAACCUUCUGUUCCAGGUCAGCUCAUCACCAGAUCGCAUCUGCAGCUGCACCCCUAAAACCCCACAACCUCCUUCAAGGACCAAUCCUAACAGGUUUGACCUGAACAAGAGCAAAUGGACUUACCGCUCCUGUUUUCUGCCUUCCUAAUUAUUUUUUCCUGGAGAAGUUUUUAAAGACCAGUUUAGCUUUCCUAAGUACUUUGUUUCCAAUGUUUAUUGCUUUGGUUGUUUUGCCUGCCAGUUAAAUGCCACCCAUUUUCAGAAAUGAGGAAAAUGCCCCUGGCAAUUAGGAAAAAAUGAUUGCUUUUAAGGGCAUCUUAACUAUUUAAAUUAUUGAAAAUAGAUAAAAGGACAAAAAAAAAUCUGAUGUUGAUUAAUUCUAGGUUUUUCUAUGCAUGUCUCAAGUGUUCUUUUUUUCAUUAGGGAAACAGCAUUUGAGCUUUAACAAGCUGACUGAUAUGAAAUAACCGACUUGAAGUACGGGAGCUUCAAGGUACUACAAAUCUUUUAUAAUCCCAUUCUAUUUCACCCUGAUUCCCAAUAAGAACUAUAUCUUUUCUAUUCACAUAAAGUCAAAAUAGCCUUCUUGUAAGGAUAUAUUUUUAAGGAUGAUUUUUAAGUAAGACACAGUAUACACACUGCAUGAAAUAGCAGUCCUUCCCCAAAGCUGAAAUUAUGUGAAUUAUAAAACAAUGUGGAAGAACAUGUUGGAAUAUUUCAGCGUGGUUCGUUAUGAUAUAAAAUCUUUAUUCCAAUUACAAUGAUGUAAAAAUAUUCCUAAAUUGAAUACAGGAAGGGAGGAGAAAAUGACAAUUUAUUUGUCAGAGUGAAUGAAUUGUGAGUGUUUUUUUUUCUCCCUUCUUCCUCAUUUCUUAUAUAAAUUUUGAAAAUGUU